rnacentral:lncRNA from 1 species
AAAAGACUUUGCAACUUCUGCUCUGUCUAGGAAUUUCCUCACUACCGUAUUUUCAUGACAAGUCCAGCUAUGUUCAAGCUCAAAUCAGACAAGACUUCAGUAAGGCUUAUCACCCCUCCAUACUUGCAAUGAAUUUCAUCUGACGGUGUUGCAAAGAGUAGUUUAAACUCUUCUUCAUUCACAAUUGCAUCUCCAUUGUCUUUUUCCCACCCAACAUGUGAAAUAAAAAUAAGUACGAAAAACUAGUCUUGAAAAGGCCAUUAGUGUCAGGAGUUGACCCACUGAGGUUUCUGGUACUGUCAUUCGGGGGCACUGUAUUUUAUGAUGAAUAGAGUGCUCUAAAAAGACUCAGCCACUUCUUUCGCUGUGGUUUAUCUUUUCCUCUGAGAAACCAGAUUGAGUUUUUUUCUUUUUAAAUGAUUGAAAAAGUACACUGAAUCUCCAACUUAAUUAUUCCAAUUCCUGCACAAAGGUCUUCCACAGAGGCUACUGCUUGGUAAAUGUGAUUAAGUUCAAAUGCAUUCUUAAAACUUGCAAAUUAAUUUAUAAACUUCCAUUCAAAGUUUGAGCUUGCUAUUUUCAAAUAGGGAAACUCAUAGAGUUACUUCCUGUUGAUUUAGUAUCUCUACAUCUAGAGUUUAACAUUUAAUCACUUUCUGGAAGUUUCCAGAGGUGCGCCAUACAUACCAGAGGGAAGGUCCAUGGUUAGAGUUUGGUUAAAGUUCUUUCCCUUGGGGUUCCAAAUUCUGAUUUGUUUCCCACUCCACUGCUCUCAGCCUUUGUGUUUUCAUUCAGCAAGGGACUCUCAUGCUCUUCCUGGUAUCUGAGUUUUUCUGGAACUUGUUUGUCUGUGAUGUGCUGCCUGCUUUCCAUUCCACAUCCCAUUACUGACCUCUAUGUUGUCACCACAAGUGCUACUGUCCCCUCAAACUCUUCCCUUGGCAGUACAAGGCAGCGUAUGGUGUCUUUCCUUACAUUCCCUGUCACACUUGGAGACUCUUAAUGGAACAUCUUUUGUGUGUCCUAUCCUAUCUCUUUCAGCUGGAUAAAAAGCCUCUGAGUAAGGAUCAUGGUGUCCAAUUAGUUUCUGAGGCUCUUGCAAUGCCUGGCACAGUUUCUUGGAUAGAGAAACUUCAAUAAUUAUUAAUUUAUCUGGACUAAAUUAAAGUCAAACCACUUUCUUGUUACUGUGUAUUGACAAAAUAAUUAUAACAAGUUCAUAACAAUGGUAUGCAGUAGAGACAGGAUUUGAAUAUAGGCACACACAGUUCACUACACUUUGAACCUCUGCGCUUUGUUGCCUUGGCAACAGACAAGAUAUAUUGUAAAGUUAUUAGUGCAGUCAUAUAAAUUGGCCACAGUUGCAAAAAUAUAAAAAAUGCCCUAAAUAAAGAUUAACCCUGAUUAUGUGAAAAGAAAUGUGUGUGUGUGUGUGUGUGUGUGUGUGUGUGUGUGUGUGUGUGUGUGUGCUUGCUGAAGAGAUGGCCGUGGCUCAGUGGUUUAGAGCAUUCAUUGUUUUUGCAAAGGUUUUGGGUUCAGUAUCCAGCUACAUGAUGUCUCACACAAGUCUCAUCUGAUGACCCUUGUGUUGAUCUCUCCAGGUUCCCGGAGAGAUGUUUUAUGCAUGUAUAUAUGUAUGCAUGUAUGUAUACACGUAUGUAUGCAUGUAUGGAUAUAUGCAUACAUUUUUAUGGUGCUGGCUUCAACCCUGGGACCUGUUACUCAAGCAUUUUACUACUGAACUACAAUGCCAACUGUUUGCCAAAUAUUAUCAUUUUGUGACAUCAGUUUAUUUAUUAAGACUUUCUUAUCUCCUAUCUACUUUAAUUCCUUUUAAAAAAGAAACUUUAUAAUGAAAAAUCCAUAAAUACUAUACACUUCACACUGCAAAUCACCAGACACAAAGUCUGUACAUCUCAGUGGUAUAUAGUUAGAUUAGCCAUUCUAAGGUUAUGGAAUUUCACAUUGGAUUUUAAACUUUCACUGUAGAAUAUAUUUUUAUGCAUUUACCCACUUUGAAAACAAGAAACUCCAUGACAGUGUUAGAACUUGACAAACAAUUUGCUUUGUAUCUUCUUUCAUACCUGGUGUCUGUUACCUGUGCUCAGUUCUUCCCCAUCCCCCUAAUGUUUACCCGUUUUGUUCAUUUUAUCUGCAUGUUAUACUGAACCCUUAUGUAUAUUUGUUACAGAUAUUAUCCAUUAUAUCCUGCAUAUGGGGGAAAACAUGCAGGUUUUUUUCUAAGAUUGUUUCACUUAAUAUUAUUUUUUUCUAAGAUUGUUUCACUUAAUAUUAUGCAUUCUAAUUCAUUUCAUUUUGCAGAAAAUUUUGUGAUUACAUUUUUCUUUAGAGCUGAUUAUUAUUUGUAGAUAUUUUUAUUUUCAGUUCCCUGUUGAUGGACUGAUAGAUUGAUUCCAAGUCUUUGCUUUAGCAAAUAAAGCACUAUCUCUCUAUGGUCUGGUACAGGGUGCUCUGGGUGUGUUCCUUGCGGCUGUGUCAGAUGCUAUUUCUAAUUUUUUUUUGAGAAAUCUCCAAACUGAUUUCCACAAUGACUGUGAAAAUUUACAACCCCUACCAACAGUGCAGAAAGGUUCCUAUCUAGCCAUACAAUCUUCAACAUUUGUUGUCAGAUUUCUUGAUGAUAGCUAUUUUGACUGAAGUAAAAUGUUCUCACAAAGCAGAUUUAAUCUGCAUUUCCCUGAUGCCUAAGGAUUCUUAGCACUUUUAAAAACAGGUAUUGGCCAUUUGAGGGUUUUUUAAAAACUGAAAUCUGUCCAAUCUAUUUGCUCAUUUAUUCAGUAGCAGUUUUAUUUCCUUGGUGUUUAAGUUCUGCAACUCUUUGUAAAUUCUGGGUAUGAGUUCUUUGCCUGAAAUGUGUCUGAUAAAGAUUUCUCCCAUUCUGUGGGCUCUCCUGUUUGUUUCCUUUAUCUUACAGAAAACAGAAUAAAACUAAACAAAAAGCCCCAAACACAACAAACAAACAUAAUCUUGAACACUAAAAGAACUGCUAGAGGUCUCAUCAUUCCCAAUUUCAAGUUGUACUACAGACCUACAGUAAUGAAAAACC